UACUCUCUUCUUUGACCCACUCGGACGCGGUCACGCUACUCGGACGCGGAGACUAGAGCCUCUCCCCUCCUCGGGAAGCAGGUCAGGCAACGAGAGCCAGCCAUGGACUGCUGCUUCCCCUGCCUCCGAGGGGCCAAGAAGAAGGAGAAGCAGCCGCCGGAGAAGCCCCAGAUCCGCCCCGCCUCAGUUGUUGAUGCAGAGAAACCCAAACAGCGUCCGUCGUCUAGUGUGACGAAGCAGGAUUCAUUCGAUUUCAACAUGGAAUCUGCAAACAAGGGCAUUGUCCUGAGCAAUGGAUCUGGCCACAACCAAAUCGCUGCGCAAACCUUCAGUUUCAGGGACCUCGCAGCAGCCACGAGCAACUUCAGAGCUGAUUGCCUUCUUGGUGAGGGUGGCUUUGGACGGGUGUACAGAGGCUAUCUGGACAGUGUCAGCCAGGUUGUUGCUAUAAAGCAGCUUGACCGUAACGGAUUACAAGGCAACAGGGAGUUUCUUGUUGAAGUUCUGAUGUUGAGCUUGCUGCAUCACCCAAAUCUUGUCAGUCUUAUUGGCUACUGUGCUGAUGGGGAUCAGAGGCUUUUGGUUUAUGAGUAUAUGCCUCUAGGUUCUCUUGAGGAUCACCUUCAUGAUCCUUCCCCAGAUAAGGCACGGCUUGACUGGAAUACAAGGAUGAAGAUAGCUGCUGGUGCAGCGAAAGGGCUAGAGUAUUUGCAUGAUGCCAGUCCUCCUGUCAUAUACCGGGACUUGAAAUGUUCAAACAUCUUGCUUGGAGAGAGGUAUCACCCAAAGUUGUCUGAUUUUGGAUUGGCAAAGCUUGGUCCAAUCGGUGACAAAACUCAUGUUUCCACAAGAGUGAUGGGGACAUAUGGGUAUUGUGCUCCUGAGUAUGCUAUGACCGGACAGUUGACCCUAAAGUCGGACAUUUAUAGCUUCGGUGUAGUCCUUUUGGAGAUCAUUACAGGACAAAGGGCUAUUGACAACACCCGGGCUGGAGGGGAGCAAAAUCUUGUUGCAUGGAUGUCUGCCUCUUAGCUCGGCGUUAUCGCUUCAGUCUUUGGUAUCAUAUCACCUGAAGGGAAAGCAUAGGAGGCCCGGCCAUUGUUCAAAGACAGGAGGAAAUUUCCCCUGAUGGCAGACCCUGCACUAGAGGGGCAGUAUCCUCCAAGGGGAUUGUACCAGGCCCUUGCUGUCGCUGCAAUGUGCGUCCAAGAGCAACCGAGCAUGAGACCGCUGAUCGGGGAUGUGGUUACAGCCCUCACCUACCUUGCCUCCCAGACCUACGAUCCGGAAGCACAUGCCAAUUCACACUUGGUAGCUCCAGGGACACCACCACGGACUAGGACCAGGAUUCGAAGCCAUGGUGCUGCAGAUCAGAGGGGAAGUGGCUAACCAAGGCGAUGGAUGGUUUGGGGAAGCCCAGAAUUUUGGUAAGCAUCUAAUCUAAGAUGUGCAAGAGCUGGGGUGCCUGUGGAGAUGAAGAGAGAAUUUUGUCUCAUUUUGUUGGAACGGAGGGCAUCGAUGGUCUGUUCAAAACCUUUGGUUUAGCACCAGUUUGAGAUGAUGUAUCUUAAGAUGUUGGGAAUGCCAUUGCCAAGUGUUUCCCUGGUGGAUUCCAUUGAUGAAGGUACCAAGUGAUGUACAUAUAUCGUUCCAGAGUGUAUGCCAUUUCCAUCUGCGGAACAAACAACACAAUGGAAUUUAUAUAAGUAUAUUAUUCUCUUUCUUUUA